rnacentral:rRNA from 1 species
CCUACGGGGGGCUGCAGUGGGGAAUAUUGAACAAUGGGCGAAAGCCUGAUCCAGCCAUGCCGCGUGUGUGAAGAAGGCCUUCGGGUUGUAAAGCACUUUCAGUGGGGAAGAAAGCCUUGGGGCUAAUACCCUCGAGGAAGGACAUCACCCACAGAAGAAGCACCGGCUAACUCCGUGCCAGCAGCCGCGGUAAUACGGAGGGUGCGAGCGUUAAUCGGAAUUACUGGGCGUAAAGCGCGCGUAGGCGGUCUGAUAAGCCGGUUGUGAAAGCCCCGGGCUCAACCUGGGAACGGCAUCCGGAACUGUCAGGCUAGAGUGCAGGAGAGGAAGGUAGAAUUCCCGGUGUAGCGGUGAAAUGCGUAGAGAUCGGGAGGAAUACCAGUGGCGAAGGCGGCCUUCUGGACUGACACUGACGCUGAGGUGCGAAAGCGUGGGUAGCAAACAGGAUUAGAUACCCUAGUAGUC